GACGAACGCUGGCGGCGUGCUUAACACAUGCAAGUCGAACGCUGAAGCUCAGCUUUUGUUGGGUGGAUGAGUGGCGAACGGGUGAGUAACACGUGAGUAACCUGCCUCCUUCUUUGGGAUAACGCCCGGAAACGGGUGCUAAUACUGGAUAUUCACUGGUCUUCGCAUGGGGGUUGGUGGAAAGGGUUUUUCUGGUGGGGGAUGGGCUCGCGGCCUAUCAGCUUGUUGGUGGGGUGAUGGCCUACCAAGGCUUUGACGGGUAGCCGGCCUGAGAGGGUGACCGGUCACAUUGGGACUGAGAUACGGCCCAGACUCAUACGGGAGGCAGCAGUGGGGAAUAUUGCACAAUGGGCGCAAGCCUGGUGCAGCGACGCCGCGUGAGGGAUGGAGGCCUUCGGGUUGUGAACCUCUUUCGCUCAUGGUCAAGCCGCAACAAUGGUUGUGGUGAGGGUAGUGGGUAAAGAAGCGCCGGCUAACUACGUG
rnacentral:rRNA from 1 species